AGUUACAGAUAUCUGAAACUUCAAGAAAAUUGAAAUCAAGGAAAAAUAUGGAGACUGUCUAAAUCUGGCUGGAGGGAGCAACUGUAAAAGCUGUCAAGACAAACAUCAAUUUAGGCUGUGAUCUUGGUGUCUCAGAGUGCAGUCUCUGAAAUCAGCCAAUUCUUCUAAAGGUCAGACCAGCGACCAGAAUUAGAAUUCCAAUGGAUGAAGACACAAGAACACUUCUAUAAAGUGGAAUUAAAAAUAAUGGGAAACAUCAUUGCCAUUUUACAGAGAAGAAAAAUCAUUUUCAUAGUCUACUUUCUACUGUAGUCUACUUUCAAAUUAGGAAGAAAAAGUUUCAUUAAGGAUCAGGAAGCUUUUGUCUAUGCUUUUUCUCCCAUCAGCUCUCAUCAACCUGCCGAUGAUCACAUACAGAGUUGUUAAUCCGGUUCUUCCCUGUAUAAAUAUGUUAGCUAGUCUGUCCAAAGAUCCUAUCUAACCUGUUGUUUGCCUGUAACAACUUGGGCUUUUCCUGUUAUUUUUAAAUGUGAAUGAUGAAUGCUGUCCGAUUUUUUAGGUUCUGAUGCUG